rnacentral:rRNA from 1 species
GACGAACGCUGGCGGCGUGCUUAACACAUGCAAGUCGAACGAAGAGCGACGGAUGCUUGCUUCUUUCAAUCUUAGUGGCGAACGGGUGAGUAACGCGUAAUCAACCUGCCCUUCAGAGGGGGACAACAGUUGGAAACGACUGCUAAUACCGCAUACGAUCUAACCUCGGCAUCGAGGAUAGAUGAAAGGUGGCCUCUACAUGUAAGCUAUCACUGAAGGAGGGGAUUGCGUCUGAUUAGCUAGCUGGAGGGGUAACGGCCCACCAAGGCGAUGAUCAGUAGACGGUCUGAGAGGAUGAACGGCCACAUUGGGACUGAGACACGGCCCAGACUCCUACGGGAGGCAGCAGUGGGGAAUCUGCCGCAAUGGACGAAAGUCUGACGGAGCAACGCCGCGUGAGAGAUGACGGCCUUCGGGUUGGAAAGCUCUGUUAAUCGGGACGAAAGGCCUUCUUGCGAAUAGUGAGAAGGAUUGACGGUACCGGAAUAGAAAGCCACGGCUAACUACGUG